GAUGAACGCUGACAGAAUGCUUAACACAUGCAAGUCAACUUGAAUUUGGGUUUUUAACUUAGAUUUGGGUGGCGGACGGGUGAGUAACGCGUAAAGAACUUGCCUCACAGCUAGGGACAACAUUUAGAAAUGAAUGCUAAUACCUGAUAUUAUGAUUUUAAGGCAUCUUAGAAUUAUGAAAGCUAUAAGCACUGUGAGAGAGCUUUGCGUCCCAUUAGCUAGUUGGAGAGGUAACAGCUCACCAAGGCGAUGAUGGGUAGCCGACCUGAGAGGGUGAUCGGCCACAUUGGAACUGAGACACGGUCCAAACUCCUACGGGAGGCAGCAGUGGGGAAUAUUGCACAAUGGGCGAAAGCCUGAUGCAGCAACGCCGCGUGAACGAUGAAGGUCUUCGGAUCGUAAAGUUCUGUUGCAGGGGAAGAUAAUGACGGUACCCUGUGAGGAAGCCCCGGCUAACUACGUGCCAGCAGCCGCGGUAAUACGUAGGGGGCUAGCGUUAUCCGGAUUUACUGGGCGUAAAGGGUGCGUAGGUGGUCCUUCAAGUCGGUGGUUAAAGGCUACGGCUCAACCGUAGUAAGCCGCCGAAACUGGAGGACUUGAGUGCAGGAGAGGAAAGUGGAAUUCCCAGUGUAGCGGUGAAAUGCGUAGAUAUUGGGAGGAACACCAGUAGCGAAGGCGGCUUUCUGGACUGCAACUGACACUGAGGCACGAAAGCGUGGGUAGCAAACAGG
rnacentral:rRNA from 1 species